ensembl:lncRNA
CAUAGAGAGAAGCAUGGAAAUAAACCUGCUUCAGGGCUUGGGUCGUGUGAGCCAGGAGGGCAGGACUGCUGUAAGCAGGAGGUGUUACUGGACAAAACUCUCUGGAGGUGUUACUGGACAAAAAAAGGACAAAGAUACAAAGGUCGUGGCUGUCAGUGCGGUGGGUGACUCACUCUCAUGUUUGAGCAAUGUGAUCGACGUGGAAGCUCAGAAGUCCCCAUGCAGCGCGUGUUCCCCGCAGGCCGUGUGCAUGGAAUGCACUGAGGUGGGCGCUUGCUGUCCUGAGCAGCAGCAGCACCACGCAGGAUUGCUUGUGAGCUGUGUGCCAGAGCAAAGCGUGCCAGAGCCCCAGAGGGCUGUGUUGAAAUAAGCAGCCUAUGGGACAUGGUUAGUGGGCAUGGUGGUGGCAUAGGGAUGAUGGCUGGACUGGGUGAUCUUAAUGGUCUUUUCCAACCUUGGUGAUUGCGUGAUUCCACGGCGCAUGUAACAUCCCUAACAGCCCCAUCCAUGCUCACACACGGGGUGUUAGUUCU